CGCGCCGCCCCGGCUCCGCAGCCGGGCAGCGCCUGGGGUCUGCGGCGGGGGGCGGGCUGGCAGCUGCUGUGCGCAGGAGCGGCCCCGCGGUCGCGGAGAAGAGCGUGGGAAUGCUGGAGCGUCGUCGUACGGUGCCUCGCAUCUCAUGCUGAAGGAAGGAAAAGGCUGAAAAGCCACGUGCGGAGCUGUGGCUGUACUUGCAGCCGGCCCGGGCGGUACUGACGCCCCCCGGUGCGGGCCCGGGAUGUGCUGAGCUUGUAAGACAAAACUCCACGCAGCCUGUGCUGUGCAGUCGGGUUGCUCCUCAGAUGGGGAAAGCGGAAAGGUUCUGAGUCUGUGCUGUCGGUAUGGAUGGGAACUCAAGUCCUGCUUGUAGCCAGCUGUGUGGUCUUGAAGGCUGAGUACGAGCCAGAGAAGAAAGCUGAUGUGGAAAGAAAGAAGCUCAGUCGUAUCCAGCAGCCAGUGGUAGCUGCAGGUCAUCAGGGAGUGCUGUCAGUGCUGAAAGAGAAAAAAGGCCACGUGGACUUCAUACCCUGAAAUACAGCAGAGCAAUCCCCUAUCUCAUGACCAUCAAGCCAAGAGGAGCAAUUUACAGACUUUGUAGAAAGUGGUUCCUCUCCUCACUACUUUCUGGCCGUAUUACUACAUCCAGAUUGGGAUACACCUUGAUGUGCUCAGAAGCUGGAGCUACUGCCUGCGCCUUGGGAAGGAAAGAGCACGCUUCCUGUGGUGGUUGAAUCCUUUCCAAACGGGGCUAUUUUCUAGGCAUGUUGUGACUUUCAGAUCCAAAAACCUGAGGGCUGCAUUGUGCUGUGUUUUAUUUUCCAUGCAUCAUCCUAUGCUGGAUAGCAAGGAAUUCUGAGCUGCAGCCACAUCCCAGAUCUGUAUUUGUCUUGGAGUAGCAGGGAUUCCUCCCCCUUCCUAUGGGCAGCAAAUCAAACCCAGCUGUGCAAUUGUAGCCAGAAUAGGCUUUGGAAGAAGCGUGGCCAGGCAUUUGUUCUGCAUGAUUCAAUAAACCAAACAGCCUCGAAUUAGGAAUAUAACACAUAACGUUGUAUUUCGGAUGCUUGAUCUUGUUCCCUUAUGUGGUUGGAUCUGGACCUGUUUAGAAGCCACACACACCAGUGUGACAAGGAAAGGGCAGAUGAGAAAGCAUGGAGAAGGCCUCCUGGAAUCAGCAGAUAGUGUUCUUUGGCUGCAUCUAUGGUCAUGUUUUUUACAGCUAAUAUUGGAAAAAGCAUGAGUACAGGAAAGGAUAUAUAUAUAUAUAUAUAUAUAUAUAUAUAUAUAUAUAUAUAAAAACCACUGCAAAUAUAUCCUUAAACACUUGCAUUCAUUUGCAAAUGACAUCCAAAAAAAUAGCAUAGCUUUUAUUUCUCUCACAGCUAGCAAGGCAAAUCCACUUUUUGAGCAUGCAGAGGAGUGUUAUGUAGGAGACAGAUACUAUUUCAGUAAGGAGGCAAUGUUCAGGACAGUUAAAUUCAGCAGCCAUAUAGAAAAGGGUCUUGCAUUCUGCACACAAGGUCAUAGGUUAUUUAUAUUUAAUAUGUGACAUCUGGCAUUUUGAAUAAUUUCCUUGGCUAAUUACCAGUGCCUGGGUGAAAUGUGAAACUUCUGUCAUAGGGGAAUUAAAAGGAAAACAAAAACAAAAGUAGAUUGCAGAGCACUGGAAAGUUUUGUAGGAAAAUUAGGAGUUGUCCUAAUUCAGGCAUCAGAUACAUGGUAGGAGAAAAUAGAGUAAAAGGGAGUAGUGUGACUAAACUUGAAUAAAUUUAAGAUUUCAGGGAAAAUUUGCAGUCAUCCUUUUAAGACUCACUGUGCCUUGAUUGUUUGAUUGCAGCACUCCUACCUCAGUCUCAUGCUCAGCACUAGAUCAAUGGAGUAUUUGUAAUAACAAGUUUUCAAAGUAGAAAGGAAGAAAGAAAGGAUUGCCUACAAGGUGUGUGUUGACAAAAACACACCUACAUAAAAAUUUAAUGAGGUCAUAGAGCCUCAUUUAACCAUUUUACAGUUUACCCCAGGAAGCUUCAUCAUCGCUCCCCUAAACUUCCUGCAGUCAUAGUAGUACCCUGCAGUAUAUUUUUCUUCAAUAUGCAUUUCACAUUAAACAAUCAUUGCUUUGCUUUAUUGUUCGUUUAACAUUCUGCACAAAUUACUUCAUAAAGUUUUCUGCUGCUUUAUAUUUCUGUAGUUUUACAGAGAGGGUUGGAGUCUCAUUUGGCAGUUACCAUCAUGCAUACAUUAAAAAGAGCAGAGGGUCUGGAAGUCUUGCACUUGGCUGCAUGGCUCUCCUCACAGAAUCUGUUCACAGUAUUUUGCUUCCAGAUCAUCCAGUGAAAGCAAAAUAAAAUUACCAGCAGCAUUAUUACUGGAAUUAAAACAUAAGGCCAUUCCAGGCACAGGUAUUUGCUUCUGAAGCAACUGCUUUCACAGGUACCUUAGAGUCUUACUACAAAACCUAAAGUGGUUUGUGAGUGAAAUCAGAUGGCAAUUGAGAUUGCUACCAGAAAAAGAACAAAAUCCUUUAAUGCACAGUGAUGAUUGUAUAAGAUAAGUAUUUGUGGAAACUCUAAUGAGGUUUCAUAAAAGCUCUUAGGCUUGAUACAAAGACUAGGGGGGUAUUUUACUUACUUUUGCAUAUUUCAACUUUGAUUUUUGAAUGUUUGUCAGCCAACAAGACCUCUUGCUAAGGUACAGCACUGGGACUUAGAAAAUAUGGGUUCUGUUCCAACCUUCCAAUUUCUUGUAGGCUAAUUUUCAGACUUUCCCAAAGGACAUAACUAAUUUGCUCUCUAUAUACUCACUACAAACACUGCCUUAUUUCCCCUCUAAGGUGAGGACAACACAACUUCUGUAAUCUCUCUUUUUUCUUAGACUGCAUACGCCUCUGUAUAAGAACUUUGAAGUCUGAAAUAGCUCUUAAAUGUUGCUUGAAUAGCCAAGCAGCCAAACUGGGCAAUCACACAACUAUCAUAGCAAAAUUACCCCAGACUCUGAGCCUCUAGCUAGCUCUAUAGGAUCUAUACAUAAUACGAUAAUCCUAUGACAUGGCUCUAUUUUGUCUAAGUGUACUGCCUGCAUGAAAGCCUGCAGGGCUUGUUCUUCAGCGAGAGGGCCUGUCAACCUUGUGGAAAUUACUUUUGUCCUUGACUUGGGUCAGACUAAGCCAACAUAAAACAAUAGGCUCUAAUGCACAGAAUGCUUUAGAGGCUCACUGGCAGUUUGGCUUUUGGACUGUUAUCUCUCAGCUUUGUGGAAGUGGAUUCAUUUUGCAGUCAUCAGGUCACAUGCACACACCACUUGCUUAGUCUGUGCCUAAUGAGCUUUCUGACCCAGAAUCUUAAUUUGGAUACAACAGCUUUCAGAUGAGAGGCAACAGGUGCUGAACAGGAUUGCCAUGUCCCAGCUGUGGCAGGUGCUUGCAUGUCAUUUUGCUGUUAUCCAUGCCAGUAUGAAGUCAGAUAGGCCAGCCAGGUGGUUUGCAUUUAGCUUUUCUUUUGCAUUGGAAUAAAAGCAGAACUGACAGUCAGUUUUGAGUUGAUCGAGUUUCUGCCUGGUUUACUGACCAGAUUGCAUGUAAGAGGGUUGAUGCUUCUUUGACCGAGCACGGGUCGGGAGGUUUAACUUUUUGAUUUGGUUUCAGAAUAAAUUCUCAAUGCAGCAGUUAUCAGACACGAGGCUGCUAGCCCUGGUCCUUAUCUUUCUACCAUAACCCCUUCCCAGGGGUAGGCUUUGUGGGGUCCUCUGGCUCCUUACAUGCAAGACUGGACAAUGGGAUAUACUGCUGUGUAUUAAAAAUGAAUGGAAAGCAGAAAAAGCAAAAAGAUAGUAAGAACUGAUUAAGUGCUUAGUAUUCUUCCAAGCUGGACACGGCAACGUAUUCAAUUAAUAAAGUCAGGUCUGGAAGAAUAUUACUCGGUAAAGGUUCAUGCUUUUAAAAUAAAUUUAUUGGUGCUGUA